rnacentral:rRNA from 1 species
CAGCAGCCGCGGGAAUACCGAGGGUGCGAGCGUUAAUCGGAUUUACUGGGCGUAAAGCGUGCGUAGGCGGCUUCUUAAGUCGGAUGUGAAAUCCCUGAGCUUAACUUAGGAAUUGCAUUCGAUACUGGGAAGCUAGAGUAUGGGAGAGGAUGGUAGAAUUCCAGGUGUAGCGGUGAAAUGCGUAGAGAUCUGGAGGAAUACCGAUGGCGAAGGCAGCCAUCUGGCCUAAUACUGACGCUGAGGUACGAAAGCAUGGGGAGCAAACAGGAUUAGAUACCCCGGUAGUCCCUGUCUCUUAUAC